GGAAUAUUGGUCAAUGGGCGCGAGCCUGAACCAGCCAAGUCGCGUGAGGGAUGACGGCCCUCCGGGUUGUAAACCUCUUUUGUCGGGGAGCACAGUGCCGCACGUGUGCGGUUUGGAGAGUACCCGGAGCACAAGCAUCGGCUAACUCCCUGCCAGCAGCCGCGGUAAUACGGAGGAUGCGAGCGUUAUCCGGAUUUAUUGGGUUUAAAGGGUGCGUAGGCGGACGCUUAAGUCAGCGGUAAAAUUGCGGGGCUCAACCUCGUCGAGCCGUUGAAACUGGGUGUCUUGAGUGGGCGAGAAGUACGCGGAAUGCGUGGUGUAGCGGUGAAAUGCAUAGAUAUCACGCAGAACUCCGAUUGCGAAGGCAGCGUACCGGCGCCCAACUGACGCUGAAGCACGAAGGCGUGGGGAUCGAA
rnacentral:rRNA from 1 species